rnacentral:rRNA from 1 species
UUUCUAGUGAAUUUAUACUAGAUAAGCCCUGCCCAACGUAAUUAAGUGGCCGCGGUAUAAUAACCGUGCUAAGGUAGCAUAAUCAAUUGUUUAUUAAUUGUAAACUAGUAUGAAUGGGUAAACAAAAUAAAAACUGUCUCAAAUUUUUUUAUAAAAAUUAUCUUUGUUAUGAAGAGAUAACAAUAUUAAUAAAGGACAAGAAGACCCUAUAGAGCUUUACUAUAAAUUUAACCUUUAAUAUAAAGUUUGGUUGGGGCGACCUAAGAUAAAUAAUAACAUCUUUUUUAAAAAAAGAUCUAUAACUCGAAAAAAUGAUCCAAAAUAUGAUCAAUAAAAUAAGUUACCUUAGGGAUAACAGGCUAAUUAUUUUUAAGAGUUCUUAUCUAAAAAAUAGUUUGGCACCUCGAUGUUGGCUUAGGGAAACUAAUAUCCGCAAAAGGAUAUAAAGUUGGUUUGUUCAACCAUUAAACCCCU